AACGUACGCUGGCGGCACGCCUAACACAUGCAAGUCGAACGAAGUAGCAAUACUUAGUGGCAGACGGGUGAGUAACAUGUAGGUAUCUACCCUUUGGCCUGGAAUAACACGAGGAAACUUGUGCUAAUACCGGAUAAGUCUUUACGGAGAAAGCUUUAUGCACCAUUGGAUGAGCCUGCACUUGAUUAGUUUGUUGGUGGGGUAAUGGCCUACCAAGACUGUGAUCAAUAGCUGAUUUGAGAGGAUGAUCAGCCACAUUGGGACUGAGACACGGCCCAAACUCCUACGGGAGGCAGCAGUGGGGAAUCUUGCACAAUGGAGGAAACUCUGAUGCAGCGAUGCCGCGUGAGUGAAGAAGGCCUUUGGGUUGUAAAGCUCUUUCGUCGGGGAAGAAAAUGACUGUACCCGAAUAAGAAGGUCCGGCUAACUUCGUGCCAGCAGCCGCGGUAAUACGAAGGGACCUAGCGUAGUUCGGAAUUACUGGGCUUAAAGAGUUCGUAGGUGGUUGAAAAAGUUAGUGGUGAAAUCCCAGAGCUUAACUCUGGAACUGCCAUUAAAACUUUUCAGCUAGAGUAUGAUAGAGGAAAGCAGAAUUUCUAGUGUAGAGGUGAAGUUCGUAGAUAUUAGAAAGAAUACCAAUUGCGAAGGCAGCUUUCUGGAUCAUUACUGACACUGAGGAACGAAAGCAUGGGUAGCGAAGAGGAUUAGAUACCCUCGUAGUCCAUGCCGUAAACGAUGUGUGUUAGACGUUGGAAAAUUUAUUUUCAGUGUCGCAGCGAAAAGCGAUAAACACACCGCCUGGGGAGUACGACCGCAAGGUUAAAACUCAAAUGAAUUGACGGGGACCCGCACAAGUAGUGGAGCAUGUGGUUUAAUUCGAAGAUACGCGCAGAACCUUACCAACACUUGACAUGUUCGUCGCGACUCUAAGAGAUUAGAGUUUUCGGUUCGGCCGGACGAAACACAGGUGCUGCAUGGCUGUCGUCAGCUCGUGUCGUGAGAUGUUGGGUUAAGUCCCGCGACGAGCGCAACCCUCACUUUUAGUUGCCAUCAUUAAGUUGGGCACUCUGAAAGAACUGCCAGUGAUAAGCUGGAGGAAGGUGGGGAUGACGUCAAGUCCUCAUGGCCCUUACGUGUUGGGCUACACACGUGCUACAAUGGUAUCUACAACAGGAAGCAAGACUGCGAGGUCAAGCAAAUCCUUAAAAGAUACCUCAGUUCGGAUUGCACUCUGCAACUCGAGUGCAUGAAGCUGGAAUUACUAGUAAUCGUGGAUCAGCGUGCCACGGUGAAUGCGUUCCCGGGUCUUGUACACACCGCCCGUCACACCAUGGGAGUUGGUUCUACCUUAAGGCAAGGUUUCAAACCCUUGACCACGGUAUAGUCAGCGACUGGGGUG
rnacentral:rRNA from 1 species